CAAGUCGAGCGGACAGAAGGGAGCUUGCUCCCGGAUGUUAGCGGCGGACGGGUGAGUAACACGUGGGUAACCUGCCUGUAAGACUGGGAUAACUCCGGGAAACCGGAGCUAAUACCGGAUAGUUCCUUGAACCGCAUGGUUCAAGGAUGAAAGACGGUUUCGGCUGUCACUUACAGAUGGACCCGCGGCGCAUUAGCUAGUUGGUGAGGUAACGGCUCACCAAGGCGACGAUGCGUAGCCGACCUGAGAGGGUGAUCGGCCACACUGGGACUGAGACACGGCCCAGACUCCUACGGGAGGCAGCAGUAGGGAAUCUUCCGCAAUGGACGAAAGUCUGACGGAGCAACGCCGCGUGAGUGAUGAAGGUUUUCGGAUCGUAAAGCUCUGUUGUUAGGGAAGAACAAGUGCAAGAGUAACUGCUUGCACCUUGACGGUACCUAACCAGAAAGCCACGGCUAACUACGUGCCAGCAGCCGCGGUAAUACGUAGGUGGCAAGCGUUGUCCGGAAUUAUUGGGCGUAAAGGGCUCGCAGGCGGUUUCUUAAGUCUGAUGUGAAAGCCCCCGGCUCAACCGGGGAGGGUCAUUGGAAACUGGGAAACUUGAGUGCAGAAGAGGAGAGUGGAAUUCCACGUGUAGCGGUGAAAUGCGUAGAGAUGUGGAGGAACACCAGUGGCGAAGGCGACUCUCUGGUCUGUAACUGACGCUGAGGAGCGAAAGCGUGGGGAGCGAACAGGAUUAGAUACCCUGGUAGUCCACGCCGUAAACGAUGAGUGCUAAGUGUUAGGGGGUUUCCGCCCCUUAGUGCUGCAGCUAACGCAUUAAGCACUCCGCCUGGGGGAGUACGGUCGCAAGACUGAAACUCAAAGGAAUUGACGGGGGCCCGCACAAGCGGU
rnacentral:rRNA from 1 species